AUGGCCGCCGCGGUCGCCUUGGCAAGCCCUCUCCGGCGACUCCUCCACUGCCCUUGCCCGCGCCGCGCUAUCGCCACGCCACUCCGCUUCUUCGCGCGAGGGCGGUGUGACCUGGCCCUCGCCGUCUCGGCGGCCGCAGUCGGAGAUAAGUGGGGCGUGCACAGGCAUGUAAUCGAGGAAGUCAUGGACAUUCUGGAUAUGGCACAAAGGGCUUCCCAACGAAGAGAUGUCUUCCACACCAGUUUUCUUACGCCACCUAUCAUAGCGGAGGCUAUGCUAGCAAUUGAAAAGUUUGCUGAUAUCAAAGCAGUAGCUCAGGGGGGCUAUCCACAGGCUGAGCGGUGCCGAAUUUCAGUUGGGCAUCCAGACUCUAUGAGAAGUGACCCAGAUGUAGUUGCUGCUUUGAGCAUCUCCGGGAAUUUCCGAUUGGAACCCUGUUCUCAUGGUGAUUUUCUCGGUGCUAUUCUUGGGGCAGGAAUUACAAGGGAGAAAGUUGGAGAUAUACUUUUACAGGGGGAAAGAGGUGCUCAGGUCCUUGUUGAUCCAGAGCUUGUUGACUAUCUGACUUCCACACUAGAAAAGGUGGGGAAAGUUGGUGUUUCAUGCACCCAGAUUCCCUUGCUUGCUAUAGAGUAUGAGCCACCAAGGACCAAAUCUUUUAAAACUGUAGAAUCAUCACUUCGGGUUGAUGCUGUGGCCAGUGCAGGAUUUAAAAUAUCACGCACAAAGCUUGGUAGCAUGAUCAGUUCUGGAGAUGUUCGUGUGAAUUGGUCACUGGUUUCGAAAAGUGGAGCUACCCUCAAGGCUGGGGAUGUUGUUUCUGUCAGUGGGAUGGGGAGAUUAAAGAUUGGGGAAAUCGUGACUACGAAGAAAGGCAAAUAUGUCGUUCAGUUGAUUCAAUAUUUGUAG
rnacentral:rRNA from 1 species